GACGAACGCUGGCGGCGUGCUUAACACAUGCCAGUCGAACGGGCCCGCUCUCUUUUUUGGGGGUGGGUUGAGUGGCGAACGGGUGAGUAUCACGUGAGUAACCUGCCCCCUGCUCCUGGAUAACUGCUUGAAAGGGCGGCUAAUACGGGGUGUGCCGGCUGGUCCGCAUGGGCCUGGUCGGGAUAGUUUCAUCUUCGGGUGUUUCGGUGGGGGAUGGGCUCGCGGCCUAUCAGCUUGUUGGUGGGGUGAUGGCCCACCAAGGCGGUGACGGGUAGCCGGCCUGAGAGGGUGGGCGGCCACACUGGGACUGAGACACGGCCCAGACUCCUGCGGGAGGCAGAAGUGGGGGGUAUUGCACAAUGGGCGGAAGCCUGAUGCAGCGACGUCGCGUGAGGGAUGGAGGCCUUCGGGUUGUGAACCUCUUUCUCCGGUGGUGAAGGCCCUGUCCGUUGCGGCGGGGUUGACGGUAGCCGGGUAUGAAGCGCCGGCUAACUACGUG
rnacentral:rRNA from 1 species